CCUCCUGGGUGUACCUAGUAUUUAUAAGACCCGUCACCCGCACCACUUCUAUCACUGGUAUCUCAAACUUUAUAACGUUAGUCAACCAGACUGUGGAAGCCUCACCACGGGUUCAAGUUGCGAAUCUCAAAAAUUCUGAUCGUUAAAAUCAAAGAAGAUGUGAUCAUAUUAACAUGAUCGGGGUUUAUAACGGGACCUGAAGUUCCUUUCAAUGACAAAGCAGACACUCUUAGUGCUCCUAUUUCAAUAAAAAUGAAAAUAAAAAUUCCCAACGAGUGUAUCUACAUUAAAAUGUAGCUGACGUUGACUGUUUUUACCGAUGGUUCAUUCGUCCGCAGAUAAAACAAUGCAAAACUAACAGCUAUUCAUGAUUAGAUACUUUAUGCAGUAAUUUAAAAUUGAUGUCCGUGCGGUUACCGGUAUUGACGAAUAGUACCGACCUUUAGCUAUCUAUGGGUGUCGUAAAAGGUGACUAAUGAUCCUAAAGGGGGGAAAUCAAGACCAUUCGGUGGAUUUUUCGACUCCAGUUGGGCUACAAUGUUUUUGUAAUAACUUUAGUGUAUAAUUUAGAAUUGUAGUAUUUAUAUAUAUCUUUAUAUGUAUUAAUUCGGAACUCUCUCUCGAUACCGUUUAUGUAUUUGGAAUUACGCAUAUCGUUUUGUAUUUACUACUGACAUAAUAGUCCUACCCGGAUUGCGAGUUGUGUGACUCGUAGUGCUCUUAGAUGAAUAUCGUUAGAGCCAGGUUGGGAGGUGGAGCCCCACGGGGUUCCCUGUGGAUUCAGACCGGAUUCAAUCGGAUGAGAAAUAUCUGUACACCCCCCCUCCUCUGCACCUUGUUGUUUAUUGUAUCUCUUUCUAUUUUCAAAUACUUACAUUUUGUUUAAUUGUCUGAUUUUAGGUUAUGAUUCGAUGUACCUUUGUUAAAAUCGUCUGCCUAGUUAGGUUUUAUUUUAUUAUAGAUUAAGUUCCUUUAGUUUGGGGUGUAAGUGGCUCUACCUAGACCUUUUGAGCCAAAGCCAACCUCUCCUGCACGCGGUGCACCCUGCCGAUUAGCGAACGAGGCUCUGGCGGAGACGCACUGGAACCAUCGUACCAGUCACCGACCUACAUCUUAGGCGAAUCCAGCCAAUACAUAAAAGUUCCAGUUUUGCGGUGCAAGUCUCCAUUAAUUCUACUUCGACUUAAAUUCAUUAAGCUUAAUAACCUUGUAGAUUAGUUUCAUAUUGAACUCAUAAUAAUAUUAGGCAUUAAGAUAUGGAUGUGGGAUUAUAUUCAGGAAACGGAUUACAUGUACCAUUGAUAUUUUCAUUGGGAUUAAAAACUAAAGUGAUAAUGUAGAAUAGAUUUGAUUGAAAUCUAAUUGAUCUUAGUAGUUAUUUUUGCUUCAUAACUUUUGCAUAUAUUUAGUAUUCAAUGUUUAUUCAUAUUAGUACUAUAUUCUAACAUUUAACCUGUUCUCUCAACAUUAUAUUGGUGUGUAUUAAAA